rnacentral:lncRNA from 1 species
GCAUGCCUACACUACACGGACCACCACUGCCUCAUAUCUAGUUGGGGAAAGAGAACAAGUAGUCUUAUUUCUUUUCCUUAAUUUUGACCCAAGCUGCCAGAAAGCCUCUGUAACUAGGACAGCCACGAGCCCCAUGAGCCCCCCAGUGUCCCAGCUGAGAAUGUCUUCAGCCUCACACAGGUCAAACAUGGACCAAACAAAAUCGAGAAAAAGGAUGUCUAAUUUGAUUUUUGCUCAGUGCUUAAUUUAUUUUUUACCAUGCCACCCAAUGAUAUUUAUAAAAUUCAGUAGCAUGAAUGCUUCUCUGUAGUAAUACUAAUUUUGUGCCUUUUGUCUGCUUUCUUAAGACCAACUGUUGACACUUUGUAGAUAUUAGACAAAUAUAUUUCGAUUAAAUACUCUUGUGUCUUGUGUUAUUUUUAGGGAUUUUUAAAACUAUGUAUUAUGUGUGUGCGUGUGCUUGUAGAGGGUGCGGGAUCCCUUGGAGCCAGAGUCACACAUUAUUGUGAGCAAGCUGCCAGAUAGGGAUGCAGGCAGUUGACCACCACAGUCUUUGCAAGAGUAGUACAUUCUCUUAGCCACUGAGCUGUGUCUCCAGUCCUCAGCCCUGGUUUAAAUACACCGAGAAAGCCCCAGAUCAGCACCACUUAGGGGCUGUUCUCAGUUCUAUGAAAGCAAAUGUUUGAGUCUCGUGUUUAGGGCCAACCCAAGCAGGACAAUUGAGAUGCCAUCUCUAUCAACAGUCCUGGAAGAACUGUAAGCCUGGACAAAAAGAACAGAUUCCUAGAAACACAUCCUACUAAGAAUGAGUCAUGAACUAAGAAAUUAGAAUAGAUCUAUAAAUAGCAAGGAGAUUGGACCAGUCACUUAAAAUUUCCCAACC